rnacentral:rRNA from 1 species
GAUAGCUGGUUUCUCGAGAAAAGGAUUUUAGUCCGACCUAAAGUUAACCCGACCUCAACUAAAUGGCCUCCCCUUUAGAGUAAUUCAAGUGAGGUACAGCCCACUUGACUCAGGAUACAACCUUCACUAACGGGUAACGUUUAACUAACAUCUUUAAGUAGGCCUAACAGCAGCCACCUUUCAAAAAGCGUCAAAGCUUAACCCUUUUAUCUUAAUUUAAAAACUUACACCAACCCCUCUAACUGUAUCGAGAGCUUCUAUAAUUUUAUAGAACCCUUUAUGCUAAAACUAAUAACAAGAGAUAAACCCCCCCCCUCUCCUAAUGCAAGCAUAAGCCAUCAAGAACCCAUCACUGGCAACUAACAUAACCCUAAUAGGUAGAAACUUCCACUAGAGAACCCUACCCACUUCCCCGUUAACCUAACACCAGAGCAUUUCAAGAAAGAUUAAAAGGGAGAAAAGGAACUCGGCAAACUUUAACCCCGCCUGUUUACCAAAAACAUCGCCUCUCGACCCUAUGAGAGGUCUAGCCUGCCCAGUGACUCUGUUCAACGGCCGCGGUAUUCUAACCGUGCAAAGGUAGCGUAAUCACUUGUCUUCUAAAUAAGGACCAGUAUGAAAGGCACCACGAGGAUUAAGCUGUCUCCUCUCCCUAAUCAGUGAACCUAAUCUCCCCGUGAAGAAGCGGGGAUCC